rnacentral:lncRNA from 1 species
CUGCUGUCACUAACAUUUUGCAGGAGUUCGCUGACGUCUUUCCACAAGACGUGCCACCGGGAUUACCUCCCAUUCGAGGGAUUGAGCAUCAGAUUGACUUAAUUCCCGGUGCAUCCUUACCCAACCGUGCACCAUACCGUACCAAUCCAGAGGAGACGAAGGAGAUUAUGCGUCAAGUACAGGAGCUGCUCGACAAAGGUUAUAUACGCGAAUCCCUUAGUCCUUGUGUUGUUCCUAAUAUUCUAGUGCCGAAAAAGGAUGGUACAUCACGUAUGUGUGUUGAUUGUAGAGGCAUUAAUAAUAUUACUAUUCGUUAUCGUCAUCCUAUUCCUAGGCUGGAUGAUAUGCUUGAUGAAUUGAGUGGCUCUACAAUAUUCUCCAAAGUUGAUUUGCGUAGUGGAUACCAUCAAAUUCUUAUGAAAUUGGGAGAUGAAUGGAAAACAGCAUUUAAAACUAAGUUUGGAUUAUAUGAGUGGUUAGUCAUGCCUUUUGGGUUAACUAAUGCACCUAGUACUUUCAUGAGAUUAAUGAACGAAGUUUUACGUGCUUUCAUUGGACGAUUUGUGGUAGUUUACUUUGAUGACAUAUUAAUUUAUAGCAUAUCUUUGGAGGAACAUUUGGAAGAUUUACGUGCUGUUUUAUUGCUCUACGUGAUGCACGUUUGUUUGGUAACCUUGGGAAGUGCACCUUUUGCACCGACCGAGUAUCUUUUCUUGGCUAUGUUGUUACUCCACAGGGAAUUGAAGUUGACAAAGCCAAGAUUGAAGCUAUUGAGAGUUGGCCACAGCCCAAAACUGUCACACAAGUGAGGAGUUUUCUUGGCCUCGCUGGAUUCUAUAGGCGUUUUUGAGAGAUUUCAGCACCAUUGCUGCACCUCUCAACGAGCUUACAAAGAAGGAUGUGCCUUUUGUUUGGGGUACCACAUAGGAAGAAGCCUUCACGGUAUUGAAAGAUAAGUUGACACAUGCUCCUUUACUCCAACUUCCUGAUUUUAAUAGGACUUUUGAGCUUGAAUGUGAUGCUAGUGGAAUUGGAUUAGGAAGUGUGUUAUUACAAGAUGGCAAACCUGUUGCAUACUUUUCUAAAAAAUUGAGUGGGCCUAGUCUGAAUUAUUCUACUUAUGAUAAAGAAUUAUAUGCUCUUGUUCAGACUUUAGAAACAUGGCAACAUUAUUUAUGGCCCAAAGAAUUUGUUAUACAUUCUGAUCAUGAAUCUUUGAAACAUAUUAAAAGUCAAGCUAAACUGAAUCAUAGACAUGCUAAAUGGGUUGAAUUCAUUGAGACUUUCCCUUAUGUCAGUAAACACAAGAAGGGUAAAGAAAAUGUUAUUGUUGAUGCAUUGUCUCGUCGCUAUACUAUGCUUUCACAACUUGACUUCAAAAUAUUUGGUUUGGAGACCAUAAAAGAUCAAUAUGUGCAUGAUGCUGAUUUUAAAGGUGUAUUGCAGAAUUGUAAAGAAGGAAGAACAUGGAACAAGUUCGUCGUUAAUGAUGGAUUUUUGUUCCGUGCUAACAAGCUAUGCAUUCCAGCUAGCUCCAUUCGUCGUUUGUUGUUGCAGGAGGCGCAUGGAGGAGGACUAAUGGGACACUUUGGCGUGAAGAAGACGGAGGAUGUACUUGCUACAAAUUUCUUUUGGCCAAAGAUGAGACGGGAUAUUGAGCGUUUUAUUGCUCGCUGCACUACAUGUCAAAAAGCUAAGUCACGACUCAAUCCUCAUGGUUUAUAUAUGCCUUUGCCUGUACCUAGUGUUCCUUGGGAGGAUAUAUCUAUGGACUUUGUUUUAGGUUUACCUAGAACAAAGAAGGGGAGGGAUAGCAUAUUUGUUGUCGUGGAUAGAUUCUCGAAAAUGGCACACUUUAUACGAUGUCAUAAAAGCGAUGAUGCUGUUAAUGUUGCUGAUUUGUUCUUUCGUGAAAUUAUUCGCUUGCAUGGUGUGCCAAAUACUAUUGUUUCUGAUCGUGAUACUAAAUUUCUUAGCUACUUUUGGAGAUGUUUAUGGGCUAAGUUGGGGACUAAACUGCUUUUUAGUACUACUUGUCACCCCCAAACUGAUGGACAAACUGAAGUAGUCAAUAGAACAUUGUCUACUAUGCUUAGGGCUGUUUUGAAGAAUAAUAAGAAAAUGUGGGAGGAAUGCUUGCCUCAUAUUGAAUUUGCUUAUAAUCGUUCAUUGCAUUCUACUACUAAGAUGUGCCCUUUUGAAGUUGUGUAUGGUUUCCUACCUCGUGCACCUAUUGAUUUGUUGCCUCUUCCAUCUUCGGAGAAGGUUAAUUUUGAUGCUAAACAACGUGCUGAAUUGAUUUUAAAAAUGCAUGAGUUAACUAAGGAAAACAUAGAACGUAUGAAUGCUAAAUAUAAACUUGCUGGAGAUAAGGGUAGAAAACAUGUUGUGUUUGCACCUGGAGAUCUUGUUUGGUUACAUUUGCGUAAGGAUAGAUUUCCUGAGUUGCGCAAAUCAAAGCUAAUGCCACGUGCUGAUGGUCCCUUUAAGGUGUUGGAAAAAAUAAAUGAUAAUGCAUAUAAACUUGAGCUGCCUGCAGAUUUUGGGGUUAGUCCCACUUUUAACAUUGCAGAUUUGAAGCCUUAUUUGGGUGAGGAAGAUGAACUUCCGUCGAGGACGACUUCAUUUCAAGAAGGGGAGGAUGAUGAGGACAUCAAUACCAUUGUUACACCCACAGCCCCUGCUGCUAUACAUACUGGACCAAUUACUAGAGCUCACGCACGCCAACUAAAUUACCAGGUACUUUCGUUUCUUGGUAAUGAUUCUAAUGUUCAUGAGAAUAUGAUGCUGCCUAAAUUGGAUACAUUUGUUUUGCUUACAAAUGAAGGGCCUAGCUUGGAGAAGGAUGAACAUUGGAGCAAGAACAAGCAUGGAGAUGAUGGCAUGCGCAAGGGGAACAAGAACGGAGUUACAAGUGAUGAUUUCAGGACUUUGAAGCCACCAUAAUGAGUACAUGAAGCCUUGGACGAAAUAUACAAGAUGCCACUUCAUAAACUUCGUCCAGAGGCUGUUCUAGGUGCUGUGUCACCUUAUUAUUGGGCCAGGCCCAUGUAAUUUCGAAAUACAUAAGUAUAGGCUGUUUUUAGAGUCCGUAUGUGUGGGGAAACAAGAGAUAGGGUUGGUUUCGGACCCCUUCCCCAAGGGCCACGAAAUCCCCCCCCCCUCUUUCUCCAUAUAUACAGCCCUUAGGGCACUGUUUAGACUGGGGGUUUUGCUUAGAAUAAAAGUUCGCCAUAGCUGCAACUUCGUGCACUUCGUUUGUGUUCAACGACCAGACCAAGGCGUCACAGAACCCCACCUUGAUCAAUAAAGCUUUCAUCUUAUAUUUGCAAUAUCCAGAUUGCAAUCUCAGUUUCUUGCUUGUUCUUCGUUUGCUCACAGGAAACAGACCCUCGUGGUCAGGUUGAUCGUGCUCUGGCAUGGUCAAUAUCCUCUCGGCGUUGGUUUAGCGAUUGCUAAGGCGUGACGUCCUCGCACGUUCGUAGUCGGAUCGUCAAAGUCGAUUUCCACCAAAGCGAUAUCCAUCAUCUCAUCGAAAGACGGGACACCUUUGCCUCUAUCAUGAGUGAACUUGAUUCAUCAUCAACAUCGGUCAAAGGUACAUUGGUAUAAGUUCUUCUCCUUCUACCACUCACAUAUUUUGCUUGGAAUGAUGGAUAGGCCAAGUACUUCUACCAACCCACUCUUCCUCGAGCAAGACGAUGACAUGUCUUCAUACGUCACCAAGAGCCACCUCUUUGGUGCACAAAGAGCGUUGCACCAAGAGCAACAAGCAAUGAGCGACCGCAUCGACAACCUCGCCACCGACUUACGACUCUCCGUGCAACGUACAAGAGACUACUUUGACAACAAGUUCGACGCUCACAAGCAACGGAAUGAUGCAAGAAUGGACGAGAUCCGCGCCUUGAUGAGGAACCGGCAUCAUUCCACUUCUUCAUCCUCAAGACGGAGCCGCUCGAGUCGACACUCCGACGACACCUUCUACGACUCAAGUACACCAUCAUCAAACACUCUUUGACGAGCCGCGCGUCAAGACCGUCAUGCAUCUCGCAACCCGCUACAUGACAAGCAUUCACAAGAGCAAGUCGAUGAGAAAGUCCCUCGUCCUCAAUCAAACCAAGCCGCUUUUGCCCAAGCUCAAGAACGACAACGACUACGGCGCCAAGAGGAAGGACGAGUGCGUCUACACCAAGAAGAACAAGACGCCGAGGCGCAACGUCUUCAACGACAACAACGAGAAGCGCAAGCUCUUGAGGCGCAACGUGCCCUUCAAGAAUCAAGUCGAGCCAUCGCCAACUGCAAUCGCGAACGGCGCACUCAAGAAGAAGCCCUUCGAGAAGAAAUACAAGAGAGGAACUAUCAACCGCACGUGCAACGUCAAGUUCCUCUAGCUCCUCAAGCCCCACCUCAACCUCAAGUUCAACAAGAGCAAGUUGAUCAUGGACUUCCUCCACGCCAUUAGCAACAGGAAGAUGAUUGUCAUCCACGUCAAGGGCGUCAUCAUCACCAUCGCCAACAACACAAUGAAGAGCAACGAUAUGGAAAGCUCAAAUUCACCAUGCCCAAGUUCAAUGGAAGCAAUGACCCCGAAGAAUAUCUCUCAUGGGCAUUGAAGGUCGACAAAAUCUUUCAUUUGCACAACUAUGAUGAAGAGAAGAAAAUCGCCAUGGCAUCACUUGAGUCCCAAGACUAUGUGCUCAUAUGGUGGGAACAAAUCCUUGAGAGGCGACAAGCAAGAGCUGAACCCCCAAUCAUCACUUGAGCUCAAAUGAAGGAUGUGAUGCAAGCACGUUUUGUGCCAACCUACUACAACCGCGACCUCUUCAAAAAACUCCAACUCCUCAAGCAAGGAACAAAGAGUGUCGAAGAAUACUACAAGGAAAUGGAGAUAGCCAUGAUUCGAGCCAAUGUCAAGGAAGAUGAUGAACAAACAAUUGCACGUUUCUUGAAUGGAGUCAAUCAUCCCAUCAAGAAGAUCGCCGACUUCCAACCAUACACCACCCUCAUUGAGCUCGUGCGUCAAGCUACAAAGGCGGAACGUCAAGUGCAAGAUGACUUCAAGUACGCCAAGUACUCGUCCAAGACCUACGGCUUCUCCAACAACCAAGCUUCAACACCUCCUCCAACAUCUACAUCAACCAAACCUUCUCCAAACAACGACGACAAGCCAAGUUACAAGAAAAAUUCGACAAGUUCAAGUCGUCCUCCUCCUACUACGAGCAACUUCAAGCCGCGUGCUUCGUCAUCUACUCCGACCGAUGAGACCGUCAAGACAAGCUCCUUCAAGUGUUUCACUUGCGGCGGCCGAGGCCACAAGUCCUACGAAUGCACCAACAAGCGCACCAUGAUCCUCAACGACGAUGGCACCUAUGACUCAAUGAGUGAUGAGGAGAUGGAAGCUCUUGAGCAAGUGGCCAUGCACCGGUGAGUGAACAAAGAUGAAGAUGAUCAAGUCGUUUGUGAUGAGGAUUUGAGCCCCGCUCUCGUUGUUUCCAAGGUCUUGACUCUUCAACAUCCACAAGAAGACGACCAAAGAUGCCACAUCUUCCACACAAAGGCCGGCAUCAAUGGACGGUCCGUCAAGGUCAUCAUCGAUGGAGGUAGUUGCCACAACUUGGCAAGUGAAGAACUAUGCUCCAAGCUUCAAUUAGUCAAGAGGAAGCACCCACACCCCUACAAGGUUCAAUGGCUAAGUGACUCCGGCACUAUACGAGUUGAGCAUACGGUCCAAGUCUCCUUCAAAAUUGGUGCAUAUGAGGACACUUUGGAAUGUGAUGUGGUCCCAAUGACGGUUUGCCACCUCCUUCUUGGUCGACCAUGGCAAUUCGACCGUGGUGUCUUCCACAAUGGACGUACCAAUCACUCUAGCUUCAAGAUGAAAGGGAAGGAAUACGUGCUACGACCUAUGUCUCCUAGUCAAGUGUUAGCCGACAAGCAAACCACCCAUCAUGGAGAGAAGAGUGAUAAAGUGAUCCACCACAAAGUGAGUGAGAGCCACAAGCCAAACUUGAGCGCCUCUUCGCCUAGAGAGAAAAACCUCAUCCUAUUUGCCACCAAAAGUGAGAUGAGAGAAGUGUGUGAGAACCCAUCAAGUGUGAUGCACUUUGUCCUUGUGUGCAAGGAUGGAGAGCCAACAACUAACACCUCUCAUGAGCUACCUUUUGUGUUUCAAUCUCUUCUGCAGGAAUUCCAAAAUGUUUUCCCCGAUGAGCUACCUCCGGGUCUACCUCCUCUUCGAGGCAUUAAGCAUUGAAUCGACCUCAUCCCCGGAGCGCCUCUACCAAACAAAGCUCCAUACCGGGUCAAUCCCGAAGAAACCAAGGAGAUUCAACAUCAAGUACAACAACUCAUCGACAACGGUCAUGUACGUGAAAGCUUAAGCCCUUGUGCCGUUCCCGUUAUACUUGUGCCUAAGCCCGAUGGAAGUUUCCGCUCGUGUUCCGAUUGUAGACCCAUCAAUGCUAUUACUGUUCGCUAUAGGCAUCCCAUUCCUCGCUUAGAUGAUAUGCUUGAUGAACUUACUGGAGCCAACUUUUUCUCAAAAAUUGAUCUUAAAAGUGGCUAUUAUCAAAUCCGCAUUCAAGAAGGUGAUGAAUGGAAAACUGCUUUCAAAACCAAAUUUGGUUUAUAUGAGUGGUUAGUCAUGACUAUGGGUUUAUCGGAAGCUCCCGGUACUUUUGUGCGUCUCAUGCAUUUUGUGCUUCGGCCUUAUAUUGGAGUCUUUGUUGUGGUUUACUUUGACGAUAUUCUUGUGUUUAGCAAAACCAUGAUAGAGCAUCUUGAUCAUGUUAGGGCUGUUUUGCAAACCCUUCGCAAGGAAAGUCUAUAUGCAAACAUGAAAAAUGCAUAUUUGGUGUUGACAAAGUGGUUUUCUUGGGUUUUGUUGUAUCCUCAAAGGUCAAACUAAGUUGAACAAGCGUCAUGGCAAAUGGAGUGAAUUUAUUGAAUCUUUUCCCUAUGUGAUCAAGUACAUUAAGGGUAAAGAAAAUGUAGUUGCCGAUGCACUUUCACGCAUAUGCACGCUUGUCACUAAACUUGAGUUGAAUGUUAUUGGCUUUGAGCACAUAAAAGACUGGUAUGCUAAUGAUUCAUCUUUUGCUAUUCCUCAUGCUAAGUGUUUGACGUAUACUUCUUGGGAACAAUAUACAUCAAAGAUGGUUAUGUUAUGAGAGCUCGCAAACUAUGUAUUCCCGAGUCUUCUCUUCGUUUGCUCCUUGUGCAAGAGGCUCAUGGAGGCGGACUCAUGGGACACUUUGGACGCGACAAGACAUUCGCCACGCUCUCCAAGAACUACUUUUGGCCCAACAUGUUCCGCGACGUCUCACGCUUCACCAACUGAUGCUCUACAUGUCGCAAAGCUAAGUCUAAAGCUCAAUCUCAUGGUCUUUACAUGCCUCUUCCUAUUCCUUAUCAACCUUGGGAAGACAUUAGCAUGGAUUUUGUACUUGGUUUGCCUAGAACUCAAAAUGGAAAGGAUUCCGUGUUUGUUGUUGUGGAUAGAUUUUCUAAGAUGGCACAUUUCAUUCCUUGCAACAAGAUAGACGAUGCUUCACACAUUGCAAAUCUCUUUUGUAGGGAAAUCUUGCGACUCCAUGGAGUACCAAAGACAAUCGUCUCCGGUCGUGACGUCAAGUUCUUGAGUUACUUUUGGAAGACCCUAUGCGCCAAGCUCGGAAUGAAGCUCAUGUUCUCAUCAGCAUACCAUCCUCAAACCGACGGCCAAACGGAGGUGACGAACUGCACACUCUCCAGUCUACUUCGCGUCUUGAUUAAGAAGAACAUCAAGGAGUGGGAGGCAUGUCUACCCAUCGCCGAGUACGCCUACAAUCGUGCAAGACAUUCGACUACCGGCAAGUCCCCCUUCGAGGUCGUCUACGGCUUGAACCCGUUGUCCCCAUUGGACAUUCUACCUCUUCCUCUACGGCUUCUUCUAUGGCUAGCACGCUACAACGACAACGCCUACAAGAUCGACCAACCUCGAGACAAGUACAAUGUGAGCGACAUCUUCAACAUCAAGGACCUUGCACCAUACCAUGGAGAUGAAGCUUUUGAUCCGAGGUCGGAUCUCUCUCAAGGGGGGGGGGAGAUGAUGCGGAGCAUCCCUCACUCAUCCCCAUGGUCGCACCUACAUCUUCCUCAACACCACGUGGACCCAUGACUCGAGCCCGAGCUAAGGCUAUCAAAGAAAAGGUGAACUCGCUCCUCUCCGAGCUCCCUCUUCCUACUCACGGGACAUGGAUACUACCUCAUUCGGAAACUCUAUUUGUAAUCAGGUACAUGUAGAUGAGCCAAGGGAGAACUACCUGCAAGAGCCAAGACGACGAGGACCCCAAGCAUGUUGAAGAAGAAGAAGAGAAGCUACUGAAGCUACAGGCAUCGGACGUCCGACCAAGUCCGUACGUCCUACGACUCCCAGGCCACGGACGACCGACGCCCUCCGGACGUCCGGCAGCUGGGCACCCGAAUGGAAACUCACAGACGACCGAAGCCUCCGGACAUCAGAUCAAUGCACGCCCGAACCGAAUCUACGGACGUCCGAAGGCCAUCGAACGUCCGGACACUCGCGAACCUCCGGACGACCGGUGACUUCUGGACGUCCGACGCCUGUGUGUUGACUUUUAUUGGGCCGCAGCCCUUGUACCCCUUUGCUCCCUAGACUAUAUAUACUCUUUCUUCCCCACCUUUCUAGGGUUAGCAAUAGUUUAGCUCAUGUUUGUGUGAGAGCUCUGCUCAUCCACUUGGUUACCUUCUCCUCGGAGCUCAGGACCUCUACGGAGAAGAUCCCCCAAGCGGAUUCAAGACCACCUUCUAGGGUGGACCCCAUCAAGACCUCCUCACGGAGAAGAACGGCUACUCCUGUAUCUUUCCUUUGUUGAUUUUGAAUCUUGUGCUACCUUAUGUGUUCGAUGAUCUAGCCCUUGUGUGAUCGAUACUUGUCGGUUUCGUGUUCCUCUUGUGUGUUUUCCUUGUGUUCUUCCGCUCGUUCGUCGUGUUCUCCCCGUAGGAUCCCCUCCAAACGUGAAAGAUCCCCGAUUAGGGUUCCGCCCUACAUCAGCUAUGCCUCCUUAGGUAUGAAGAGGAACAUCACCAAGACACUCAGGAGCAUCACCAAGGAGUGGGAGGACCACCCCGAGGCCACGCAACCCAAGAAGAAGGGCAACAACAGCUGCACAGGAAGCUCCAGGCGACCUCGUGCGCAUGGCCCCCCGAGACCCCGUGCCCACGGGCUACUCAGGGAGUUGGCGCUGGAGCACCCCGUGCGCAUGGGCCCAACUUACCCCGGGCGCACGGGCCUCCCAGGAUGGUCGGCUGAGAUCACUUCUUCGGCUCCUCUUCAUCUCCUUCGACCCCUAUGCUAUAUAUUCCGUACCAAGGACCAAGUUAGGGUUAGCAAAGUAUUAGAUGAGAUAUUUGUGAGCUUUGCUCCUUUCUACCUUCCCUUGUGGAAUCAAGACCCCUUAGGGAAGAAUCCUUGUGGAUUUCAAGUCCUCCUCAAGGAGUAGUGAUGCGGAGCAUCCGACGAUCAUCCCCAUGUACACUCGAGCCUACGUCAUUGGACCUAAGGUGAACCCUCUCCUAAAUGCUUCUCCUUUCCAUUCAUGUGAGACAUGGUUACUACCUAAUGCAAGGACACUACACAUGCCUAGGUACCAAGGAGACCCUCUCGGAGAUGCUCGGAAUGAUGGACAAGUCGCCAAGUACAAGGAUGAAGGAGCACGACGAGAGGAACCGGAGAAAGGCUACAGGGCCCGGACAUCCGGCCAGGCCCCGGACAUCCGGCCCCUCCCGCAAGCCCAGACAUCCGGCCCUAGCCCGGAAAUCCGGCGCUCAUCGCAGAAGACACCCGUAGCUGAACCACUUCAGCCCGGACAUCCGGCCAGAGGCCUGGACAUCCGACUCUUCCCGAGCCGCCGGAUAUCCGGCCCCCUGCCCGGACAUCCGGACCCCGCUAUCCAGAGAGCUCCGAGACCGGCCACACUGAUGCGGAGCAUCCUACGGUCAUCACCAUGUCAAGAGUCCGUUUGGCAAGUGACACGUGCGACCUCUACUUCUCAUACAUAAAGGUGAAUCUUCUCCUUUACACUUGCUCACUUGACCCCUUCGAGGAUGGUAUACUACUUGACACUUCUCCCGUGUGCAUGCAUAGGUAUUGUCGGAGCUUCACGGAUGUUGAGGAGGAGUGCAAGCGCCAAGGAACAACUACACCAUCCCCAAGGGAAGCCUAGAAGCGACGACGGAGACAACCCCCAGGACCCGGACAUCCGACCCCUGGAGCAUCUCCCACAGCAGCCGCCUAGCCGCCAAGUACCUACAGGCCCCGGACAUCCGGCCCGCAAGCCCAGACAUCCGGCGCAUCCCGACAGCUCGGACAUCCGGCCAUAAGCCUGGAAAUCCGACGCCCCUAUCCAGAGAGCACCGAGGCUGACCUCACCAGCCCGGACAUCCGGCCCAUGCCCCGGACAUCCGGCCUCCCAUGAACGCCCGAAAAUCCGGCCCCCAGCCCGGACAUCCGGCACCUGGCCGCACGCAGAGGCGGGCCAAAGGCCCAUGUAUCCCCUCCUCACUUACCCCUUCGUGGACUAGCCUAUAUAAACUCGAUCCCCUUCCUCUAGUUAGGGUUAGCAAAUAUGAUAGCUCAUUCUUAGGUGAGCUUUGCUCCUACCUCUACUCUUGAGAGAGAGAGAGACUACCACUCCCAUGGAGUUCAAGACCUCCAUGUGAGAAGAUCAUGUGGGAUAUCAUCAAGACCCCCUUGUGGGAAGAUCCAUCUAGGAUAUCAUCAGGACCUCCUCUUGGAGAUGAACCUUACCUUGUAUAUUUCCCUUUGUUGUUCAUGUAUCUUGUGAUCUUGUGUGUUUGAUUGUCUAGUGGAUGUGUGAUUGGACUUGUUCUUGAGUAUUUCUCCUUGUGAUUUCUCCCCGUUCUUCCCAGUGUUCAUCAUGUUCUUCGAGGGAUCCCACUCCAAUCGUGAAAUAUCAGCCUACACCGGGUUAACCCCGUAUCAUAUGGUAUCAUGAGCCACGUUGAUCACGUUUUUGGAGCCCCUACCCCGUGUUUUCUAGCUUGAUUUUCUUGAUUUCGUCCUAAAUCCGAAAAUCCCCACCAAAAAUAGCCCCCAAAAUUUUUGUGAUUUGUUGGUUUGAUGAUGUUUUGUUGAUUUUGAUCCAUGUAUUUGCUUGGUUUCAAGUGGAUCUAGCAUCUCCCCAAGUUUCCCCACUUUCCAUCCACAAAAUCUCCCCAAUUUUGCCCUCAAAAUCAUCAAUUUCAGCCCAAAAAUCGAGUUCCUCGAGUUCAUCCUCGGAUUUGGAGCCCGAACAUCCGGCCCGAGCCCCGGACAUCCGGCCAGCCCGUAAAUCCGGCCAAUAGCCCAGACAUCCGGCUCCUGGAGUGCAUUUUCGCACAAGUUUCUGGACAUCAGGUCCCGGAAAUCCGGCCCGACCCCCGGAUGUCCAGCCCCUGGGAUUUCUGAUUUCCCCGUUUCACCGUUUCGGCCAUAACUAAUUCAUCCGGAGUCCGAUUUUGACGUUCUUUAGCUCGUUUUGAAGCUAUUGACAUCCCCCAUCCCACAAAAAUACAAACAGCAUCAUUUGACUCCAUCAAAUUUUUGAAAAUUUGGCAAGUUUGCCUAGGCCUUCCACCAUAUCAUCUGCAUAGCCACCACCGACUUGCGCAACCUAACCCAUUUUGUUCCCCAUAGCAUUAGUGGUUGCUUGAGUAGUGAUUCGAGUCUCCUAAGGUGUUUCUGCUACUUAGGGACGAUUGCUUCUUCAUCAACUACCAACACCACUUCCGCAUAGGCGUGCCCCCAUACACUUCCGCCACCCCCAACUUAACCCAAUAGUUGUUUGAGCUUGUUUGAGUUGUGGCUUGUGUCUCCUAAGGUGUUUUGGCUACUUAGGGACGGCAACUUCAACUCCAACACGUGUAUAGCCCACCAUUCCACUUCCUCAUUGCCAAGUGCAAACCACCACCGCAUUCCCGCUACCACCAUUUUGACAUUUGUCCUCGAGAUUUUGAGCUGUGGUUUUUCUGUUUCCUAAGGUGUUUCGGCUACUUAGGGACGAGUCUCCAUCAUCUUGUUAUCUACAUCAAGAACACCACCACUCAUCAUCGCCAAGGACGGUAACCUCGACGACACCAUUGUAUAUUACCCUUGCAAUUGCAUUGAUAACCCCUUAGCCCAUUUUGCGUUACUUGCCUAUCGAGACUAGCCAUUUGAGUAUUGCCGGCAACAUGACUUGUGCACAUUAGUGAUCAUACUUCCCAUAGCAUACAUACCAUAUCAUAUUGGUAUCAUCAUAUCAUCUCUUGUGUCACAAGCUUGUUCCCGCAUAUACACAAUUGAUAUCUUGGUUUGUGCAUUGUGCAAAAGCGGCCAUAGAAAAAAAAUAAAGCUCUUAAGCAAAAGAAAGAGAGCAAAGAAGCUUGUAAGCAAGUGCCAUAGCAUCAUACCACAUUGCAUAUAAGAUUGUCAUAUCCGAUCAUCUUGGAUCAUCUUGAGAGAAACACUGGGAACCAUACAUACAUAGCAUACUUGGGAUAGAAGUUUAUCCAUUUUGCAUCUUAUAGGUUGUGCACAAGUGUCGUAUCCGCCUAUUGAGCAAUCGUGCUAGCGUCUCCCUUGAGUUGUGCAACACGAGCGUUUUCCGUGGAUUCCACAUUUUGUGCUCAUUCCUUGGUUGCACGACCCCAUUUAUCUAUCCGUGUGUGUGUUUCCGUGUGCCAUUCUUUGCUAUUGGUCCAUUUGUUUCACUUGCGAAUUUGUGAAUCUUUUUCAACAUUAUUGACUCUUGCUAACAUUUUGCAUCAAAUUUUUGUGCCACUAUCCUCACCGAGCUCCACCAUAAGCCUUAUUUGUGUAGGUGUGAGAAACCGACAAGAAUUGGUACCAAUUGUGCUAUUUCCUUGUUACACAUUGAGUGGUCAUUGAUCCAUCUUCAACAUCGGUCAAGGUACAUUUGGUAUAAGUUCUUCUAUUUCUCCCACUCAUAUUUGCUCGAGUCUUGUGAUGGAUAGGCAAGGCAUUUCACCCUCGGUCUACAACAACAACAACUAGUUCGAUGCCACGAACAACUCCAACGAUGCCAAGAUGCAAUCUCAAAUGGAGGAGAUCAAAGCACUCAUCAAGUCCUACAAGAGAUCUUCCUCAUCUUCGAGAAGACGCUCAAGUGCACAUGCUUCCGAGCUACCAUCUCCGGCAAGAUCACAUCAGCAUCGACACCAUCACCACCAAGAACGUGAAGGUCACGAGCUCAACACCAACAACCGCUCAAUGACUUCACCAUCACCCUUGGCAUCUUCGCCAAGCGACUUCAAGGCAUCUUCGCCUUUGGAUAUAUGGCAUCUUCGCCAACAAGCACCUCAAGACUACGCUCAAGAGAAGCUCCCCAAGCUCAAGUCCACGACCUCCACGAGCUACUACGACCUCGACACCGACCAUGAGAUUCCUUUCUAUGGGACUCUAGAACCCGAGGAGUAUCUCAAGUGGGAGCGUUUGAUGGACGACUACCUCAAGCUACAUCAAGUUCCUCCCGAAGAUCAAGUGAAGUGCGCCACAAGAAACUUCCACGACUACGCCUCAACAUGGUGGCUUCACACACCUUCGGAAAGCUACGACAUGAGUUGGCCCAAGACGAAGAAAGCUUUGCGGCGAGAGUUUGUCCUCCAACCUACUCGGAACAACUUCUACGCCAAUUGGAGAACACCAUCCAAGGAUCCAAGUCCAUCGACAAGUACUUCAAGGAGAUGAAGAAAGCCUUGCGACGUGCCGGCGUGGAUGACCCCAUGUCAAUGAAGUUCCACUUCAUGAUGGGAUUGAACAAUGACAUCUCCAAGACUAUCUUCCUCGAGAACUACAAGUCCCUCGACGACAACUACAUUGGUGCUCUCAAGGCGGAACAAGAACUAAUGAAGGCCAAGGCUUCUCCACCCCAAGCACACUUCUCGAAGACCAAACUCAAAGACGACGAGCAUGAGGCUAGUACCACCAAGAUGUCCAAGCCCGAUGAGCUCCAAGACGAUGCUCCCAAGUUCGACUUAACCGCCAUCCCUCUUUGUGGCAUUGAUGAUGUCGAGUCCUCCAUGACUCUUUUUCAAGAUGGUGCGGCAACGAGUACGACUACGGAGACCAUCAAGGACCAUGCUUUGGAGGCGAGCAACUUGGUGACGAGCAAGGAUGAUGCUUCCAUCUUAGGAGGCGAGAGCGAUGAUGUGCCAUCUCCGGCCUUCAUCCAUGGUAACAACAACGAGAUGGUUGAGCAUGGGAUUUUCCCUUCGACCAUGGCGACGUAUGAUGACUUGAGUGACUUGUGCCACCAUAUUGAGAGUGAGAGUGACUUCACCACUAGCCACAUAUGUGAUGUGUUGCCCCAAUUCCCAUGUGAGGAGAGCCACAACACCCACCACUUGAUUGAGAUGAGUGACUCCACCAUAUGUGACUUUGAGUGCACCUACCUUGAGGGAGUGAGUGAACCACCACAUAGAGAGAGUGAGGCCACUUCGAUUUCUAACGACUUAACAUCUACCUCUAUUGUGUCUUCUCAUUUGGUGCUAGGUCCCAUAUAUGAUGAUGCGCCGAUUCGCGACGACUACGUCCUUCCUUUGGACAAGAUGAUGGCCAUGGUGGAAUACGAUGCACCCCCCACAUGGUUCCAUCAAGAUGAAGAUGACCACCACUUGGUCUUUGCCACCUCACCUACACAACUUGAGUGGAAUGAACAAGGUAACAUAGGUGAAGGUGAUGCUCUUGUCCCACUAGUGGACAUUCUUGACAUUGAUUGCUUGCAUGAUGUUGAUCAACCUAUUUCCAUGCUUCAUGCUAGUGCGACUCCCUCAUGUCUUGACUUGCCAAUUUAUGAUGAAUAUGAUGAUGAGCAUGUUGAGUUGCCUAGUUGUGAUGCCAUGUUACAUAGGAUUUCUUGUGAAAAUUCUUUAGGUCACAUCAUGUUUGACAACCCGCUUGACUUGUCAUAUGCUAUGCAUGAGAUCAAUCAUAUGUCAUAUUUGCAAUCUCUUCAUAGUGACUAUGCAUAUGCCAUUAAAAUAAACCCAAUUUGCACUUAUGGCAUGGAUGACAAGCCCAUGGUUAUUGGCAUUUGUUUUUCUUGUGAUGAUAUUGAUAUGCUUCCUUUGCAUCAUUUAUCUCAUAUGCCAUGCCAUGACUACCUAGCUUCGGAUAUGCAUUGUUUUGGAUGUUGUCCAUUUUCUCCAUAUGAUGUUUCCAAUAUUGCUCAUGAGGAGACCCCCAUAGUUUCCUCAUACAUUUUAGGAGAUUUUGAUUCAUCCUAUCCAUUGCAUGAUCCCAAUACUUGUGUGCACAAUAUGCUUCCCAUGAAUAAACAUGCUAUUGAUGUGCCAUAUACUUGCAUUCUCAAUUUGUGUCCCCAUCGUGUCAUAUACAAUAACUAUUCUUUCAUGAUGGAUGACAUGUUCUUGUACCAUGCAUCAAAUUUCUUUGAGUGAUGCUUAUCUUGUGCUAACACUCACUUGCACAUACACAUCAUGAUGGAUGAUGUGUACAUUUACCACACACACAAUUUCUUUCGUUUAUGUCUCUGUUGUGUAGGUACCCAUGAAUACUUGUCAACUUCGCAAUCCCACGAGUUAACAAAACGAGCUAUAGAGAGCAAUGAUGACUUGGGAUCCCAUGGAUUGCCUUUCCCACCGCUCACUUCGCGCAAACACUUCGCGCAUUUCUUUUACAUGGCCCUCACAUGGUUAUGGGUUGUUGUCCAUUAUAUAUCCUUUGCCCAUCUUGCCAUGUUCACUUUGCAUGAUAUGCCCAUUCCUAUGCCUUUGCCAUGCAUUUGUGACCCAUGCUUUGCAUUACACAUGAUGAUUGAUUCUAGUACUUGUAUGUGUAUUCACAAGCGUGGUGGAGAUAUUGUUUGUUAUUGCCAUGAUUGCUUUGUGCCCCAUGCCUAUGAUGACACUAUGAUCUUGAUUUGUGUUCGUGCUUGCGAUAUGUCAUGUACAUUGCCUAUGUCUAUUCUUUGCUCACAUGACAUGAUUGCCAUGAUUCCCUCUAGUGUGUUGCAUCUUUGCUCCACUAGUUUGCACGACUUGAUUACUAUGAUUGCUUGCCUUGUUGCAUCACCGAUGAUUCAUACUUGCUCACUUCAUGCGGUUGAUGACAACCAUUUCCAUGCUUUGCACAUGAUUGUUAUUGCUCCUUGUCAUUUAUCUCCAUGUGUUGCCUCUCUCAUCCUAGAUGAUUUGACAUGUAUUGAGUGCAACAAUGCCCUUAGUCUUGAUAAUGAGUUUGCCCCCAUAGCAUUCUCACAUAUAAUUGGAGAUUUUGACAUAUUCCUUGUGAAGCAUGCUUGUCUUACCUCUUUGCAACAUAUACCCCGUGCCAUGAAUAUAGCCAUUGUUGCAUCAUAUUAUUCAUGCACUUGUGCUUCUAAUGGUUAUGUGCAAAAGAAGAGAACCAUCAUGAUGGAUGAUGUGUUUAUCAACCAUGCGCAUACGUUCUUUGUUUUGUUGUGUGCAUGUGUAGGAUACUUGAACUUUGUGUCGACUUCCAUGUCACGUGAGUUGACCAUUCGAGCUCUUGAGAGCAAACCACCUUCUACCACGACGAUUCUACAUCGCACUUGUUUGUGCUUCGGCAUUGGGAAGGAUGCACAAGGACACGCCUUCAAGGUGACAUCUUUCUUGAGGAUGGAUAUUGCGGAUCAUACUACUUGUGUUGCUUGCACGAUGAGACUUAUUGUUCAUCUUGGAUCACUUGAUUGCACACUUGUUAGAGAUUUUGCUUCAACUUGUCAUUUCACCGUUCCAUGCAUCAUGAUAUAUAUGCCUUGUGUGUUGCAUCCAAUUCUUGGAUUACUUGCUCCUCUCACAUGUCUGGUUGCAACAAUGUCAUUACAUCACAUAUGCCAUGUCCCAUUGAUUGCUACAUGCUUGACUUGAUUGCCUCACACAUGAUGAACAAUUGCUCUUUCUAUUGUGUUGAGUGCCACACUAUAUUCACUACACCCUAUGCACAUUAUGCUUGGAUUGUCUUGCACUUGACCCAUGUGUUUAGACAUCUCAUCUUAUUUGGUGUUGUGAAUGAUUCCUAUGCCUACCAUCGACCAUUUGUCGAGCGCUUUAUGCAUGCUUGCUAUGACCUUGAGGUGGAUGCUUAUGCUCUUGUCACACAUAUUUGCAUCUCUACCUCACAUUUGCAUACUUGUCCCCAUGAUAUCUUUGCUUCUGCUCAAUUGAUAUGCUUACAUCCCAUGUCGCAAUCCUUUGUCACACCCGAUGCUAUGCUUGAUGACGACACUUGUUUGGUGAACCACCUCUUGAAUGCUUGGUUUUGCACUAACGCUAACCACAUUUGUUUUUCCAAGUGUUUGUUGUUCUGGCUUCUUUUGAAGGAAUCACUAGACGGUGCGACAUUGGAGAGUGCCCAUUUCGAGUUUCAAGAUGAUGAGUGCUGUGUGACCGACCACUUCGACAUAGCACCGCCAUCUCUUUCCCAUGGUGAUUUGGUUUUCGAUCCGAGGUCGGAUCUUUUCCAAGGGGGAGGGGAUGAUGCGGAGCAUCCUACGGUCAUCACCAUGUCAAGAGUCCGUUUGGCAAGUGACACGUCCGACCUCUACUUCUCAUACAUGAAUCUUCUCCUUUACACGUGCUCACUUGACCCCUUCGAGGAUGGUAUACUACUUGACACUUCUCCUGUGUGCAUGCAUAGGUAUUGUCGGAGCUUCACGGAUGUUGAGGAGGAGUGCAAGCGCCAAGGAACAACUACACCAUCCGCAAGGGAAGCCUGGAAGUGACGACGAAAGAAGACGGAGACAACCCCCAGGACCCGGACAUCCGGCCAGGACCCCGGACAUCCGGCCCCUGGAGCAUCACCCACAGCAGCCGCGCAGCCGCCAAGUACCUACAGGCCCCGGACAUCCGGCCUGCAAGCCCGGACAUCCGGCGCCUCCCGACAGCCCGGACAUCCGGCCAUAAGCCCAGAAAUCCGACACCCCUAUCUAGAGAGCACCGAGGCCGACCUCACCAGCCCGGACAUCCGGCCCAUGCCCCGGACAUCCGGCCUCCCACGAACGCCCGGACAUCCGGCCCCCAGCUCGGACAUCCGGCGCCUGCCUGCGCGCAGAGGCGGGCCAAAGGCCCAUGUAUCCCCUCCUCACUUACCACUUCGUGGACUAGCCUAUAUAUUCUCCAUCCCCUUCCUCUAGUUAGGGUUAGCAAAUAUGAUAGCUCAUUCUUAGGUGAGCUUUGUUCCGACCUCUACUCUUGAGAGAGAGAGACUACCACUCCCAUGGAGUUCAAGACCUCCAUGUGAGAAGAUCCUGCGGGAUAUCAUCAAGACCCCCUUGUGGGAAGAUCCAUCUAGGAUAUCAUCAAGACCUCCUCUUGAAGAUGAACCUUACCUUGUAUCUUUCCCUUUGUUGUUCAUGUAUCUUGUGAUCUUGUGUGUUUGAUUGUCUAGUGGAUGUGUGAUUGGACUUGUUCUCGAGUGUUUCCCCUUGUGAUUUCUCCCCAUUCUUCCCCGUGUUCAUCGUGUUCUUCGAGGGAUCCCACUCCAAUCGUGAAAGAUCGGCCUACACCGGGUUAACCCCGUAUCACACACCAACCAGCCCGGACAUCCGGCCCGCGCCCCGGACAUCCGGCCUCCCACGAGCGCCCGGACAUCCGGCCCCCAGCCCGGACAUCCAGCGCCUGUCUGCGCACAGUGAACGGGCCAAGGGCCCAUGUAUCCCCCCUCUCACUUACCCCUUCGUGGGCUAACACUAUAUAUAGACCCCCACCUCCUCCUAGUUAGGGUUAGCAAAGGAUUAGCUCAUAUUUUGUGUGAGAGCCUUGCUCAUCCACUUGGUUACUUCUCCUCGGAGCUCAGGACCUCUACGGAGAAGAUCCCCCAAGCGGAUUCAAGACCUCUUCAAGGGAAGACCAUCAAGACCUCCUCACGGAGACGAACCCGGUUACCUCUUGUAUCUUCCUUUGUUGACUUUGGAUUGUGUAUCUUACCUUUGUGUUCAUCGAUCUAGCGCAUGUGUGAUCUAUUCUUGUUGGUUGAGUGAUUUCUCUCGUGUUCCCCUCGUAUUCCCCUCGUGUUUCCCCUCGUGUUCAUCACGUUCUUCGUAGGGAUCCGCUCCUUUCAUGAAAGAUCGGCCAUCUAGGGUUCCACCCUACAUCAUCUUGGUAUCAUGAGCCACGUUGAUCAUGAUUUCGGAGCCUCCCCGUUGUGUUUUCUAGCCUAGUUUUGUUGAUUUUGUCCCAAUUUCGAAAAUCCCCACCAAAAAUAGCCCCAAAUUUUUUUGUGAUUUGUUGGUGUGAUGAUGUUUUGUUGAUUUUGAUCCAUGGAUUUGCUUGGUUUCGAGUGGAUCUAGCACUUCCCCAAGUUUCCCCACUUUCCAUCCACGAAAUCUCUCCAAUUUUGACCUUGAAAUCUUCCAUUUCCGCCCCAAAAUCGAGUUCCUCGAGUUUAUCCUCGGAUUUGGAGCCCGGACAUCCGGCCCGACCCCCGGACAUCCGGCCAUCCCGGAAAUCCGGCCAUUAGCCCGGACAUCCAGCUCCUGGAGCGCAUUUUCGCGCAAGUUUCUGGACAUCAGGCCCGGAAAUCCGGCCCGACCCCCGGAUGUCCGGCCCCUGUAGAUUUCAGCCUCCCCGUUUCACCGUUUCGGUCAUAGCUAAUUCAUCCGGAGUCCGUUUUUGACGUUCUUUAGCUCGUUUUGAAGCUAUUGACAUCCCCCAUCGCACAAAAAUACCACCAACAUCAUUUGACUCCAUAAAAUUUUGUGAAUUUUGGCAUCUUUGCCUAGGCCCUCCACCAUAUCAUCUGCAUAGCCACCACCGACUUCCGCAAUCUAACCCAUUUUGUUCCCCAUAGCAUUUGAGGUUGUUUGAGUAGUGACUUGAGUCUCCUAGGGUGUUUCGUCUACUUAGGGAUGGUUGCUUGUUCAUCAACCACAACCACCACUUCCACAUAACCUUGCCCACCAUACACUUCCGACACCCCAAAUAACCCAAUUGUUGUUUGAGCUUUUUCGAGUUGUGGCUUGUGUCUCCUAAGGUGUUUAGGCUACUUAGGGACGGCAACUUCAACUUUGACACGUGUAUAGCCCGUCAUUCCACUUCCGCAUUGCCAAGUGCAAACCACCACCGCAUUCCCGCUACCACCAUUUUGACAUUUGACGUUUGAGAUUUUGAGUUCGCGGUUUUUCCAUUUCCUAAGGUGUUUCGGCUACUUAGGGACGAGUCUCCAUCAUCUUGGUAUCUACAUCAAGAACACCGCCCCUCAUCAUCAUCAAAGGACGGUAACCUCGACAACACCAUUGUAUAUUCCCCUUGCAAUUGCAUUGUUAACCCCUAGCCCAUUUUGCGUUACUUGACUAUCGAGACUAGCCAUUUGAGUAUUGCCGGCAACGUUACUUGUGCACAUUAGUGGUCUACACCUUCCAUUGCAUACAUACCAUAUCAUAUUGGUAUCAUAUCAUCCCUUGUGUCACAAGAUUGUUCCCGCAUAUACACAAUUGCUAUCUUGGUUUGUGCAUUUCGCAAAGUGGCCAUACAAAAAAAAGAAUAAGCUUUUAAGAAAAAGAGAAAGAGCAAAGAAGCUUGUAAGCAAGUGCCAUAGCAUCAUACCACAUUGCAUAUAAGAUUGUCAUAUCCGAUCAUCUUGAGAAACACAGGGAACCAUACAUACAUAGCAUACUUGGGAUAGAAAGUUUAUCCAUUUUGCAUCUUAUUGGUUGUGCACAAGCCGCCUAUUGAGCAAUCGUUCUAGCGUCUCUCUUGAGUUGUGCAACACGAGCGUUUUGGUGGAUUCCACAUUUUGGGAUCAUUCCUUGGUUGCACGACCCCAUUUAUCUAUCCUUGUGUGCGUUUCCGUGUGCCAUUCAUUGCUAUUGGUCUACUUGUUUCGCAUGCAAAUUUGUGAAUCUCUUUCAACAUUAUUGACUCUUGCUAACAUUUUACAUCAAAUUUUUGUGCCACUAUCCUCACCGAGCUCCACCAUAAGCUUUACUUGUGUAGGUGUGAGAAACCGACAAGAAUUGGUACCAAUUGUGCUAUUUCCUUGUUACACAUUGAGUGAUCAUUGAUCCAUUUUCAACAUCGGUCAAGGUACAUUUGGUCUAGUUCUUCUCUUUCUCCCACUCAUAUUUGCUCGAGUUUUGUGAUGGGUAGGCAAGGCAUGUCAUCUCCGGUCUUUGACAACAACGACGGCGUGAACAACUACAUCACCUAAGCGUCCAUCUUCGAUCUACAACGACAAGUGCAAGGCGCACAAUCAAGAUUGCGAGAGCGCAUCGAGAACCUCUUCAUCGACAUUCAUCUCUCCGAAGCAAGGAGAAGGGACUACUUCGACAAGAAGCUUGCCGCACAUAAAGAGGAGCAAGAUGCAAUGAUGGAGGAGAUUUGAACCUUUCUCUAGUCUACUUCCCCUUCAUCAUCGUCAAGACGACGAUGUUCAAACCACAAGUCUUCGGAGCGCCCAAGCGAUGCAAGCGCAAGUCGUCCACAUCUCCAUGGCGACCACCAUCACGUUCGUGAUCCACAUCGUCAUGAAGGGCAAGUCACCUCCAAGCAUCAUGUGCACGACGACGACGAACGACAUCUACUACGAUCUCAAGUGCGACAACGACACCAUCAUCAUGAAGAUGCUCAACAAGCGCAAAGGCACAAGUCCCAACAAGCCCUACUUCACACCAAGUCCAAGCUUCAAGAGCACAAAAGAAGACCGCGAGACGACCACCACCAAGACGGCGCUACGGCUACAUCACCCACUUCGGCAUCUUCGCCAAGUGUUCUCAAGGCAUCUUCGCCUUUGGACGUACGACGUCUUCGCCUACUUCCCACGAGUAUGCCUACAACGACUUCAUCAAGUCCAAGGCGACCACCUACGAGCGAGGGCUACACUUCCAUCUUUGGAAGCCCCCCAAGGAAGAUGGCCGAGCAUGGGACACUCCCUUCGGUCAUGGAGACGAGCUACGAGGUGCCACAUCAUAUGGGCCUCCAACAACAAGACGGUGACAAGAAGGUUGAGCAUGGGACUAUCCCUUCAACCAAGGCGGCGAUAGGAGUUGAGCAUGGAGACAUUUGCACCUACAUCUCUCCGACACCCACAUAUGUCGAGAUGCCCCAAGUGCCAUGUGAGGAGAGCCACCACCACAUGAGAGAGAUGAGUGACUCCACCAUACGUGACACUGAGAGCAUUUCCUAUGAGAGGAUGAGUGUGACCACCACUAGCCCCACACAUGAGAGCAUGCCACACAUCCUAUGUGAGGUUGAGCGCCAUUUGAGUGACUCCACCAAUCAUUUGAGUGAGAUCAUCCUUGAGGGAGUGGGUGAGCCACAACACAUAGUGAGUGAGGUAGUUGACACGGCAUGUGAGGCCACCAUGAAUUCUAACGACUUAACCUCUACUCCUAGUGUGUUUUCUUCUUUGGUGCUAGGUCUCCUACAUGAUGAUAUGCCUAUCCUCGACGAGUCCAUACCUCCAAUGGAGAUGACGAUGGCCAUGGUGGAUGAUGAUGCACCCCCCGCAUGGUUCCAUCAAGAUGAAGAUGACAACGAGACGAUCUUCAACACCUCACCUACAACUCAUGAGCGACCUUCCAAAGGUAACAUAGGUGAUGGUGCUUCUCUUGUCCCACUAAUGGACUCUCUUACCAUCGAUUGCUCCCAUGAUGUUGACCCACCUAUUCCCAUGCUUCAUGCUAGUGAGACUUCUUCAUGCCUUGACUUACCUAUUUAUGAUGAAUAUCAUGAUGAGCAUGUUGAGUUGCCUAGUUGUGAUGUCAUGCUCCAUAGGAUAUCUUGUGAAAAUUCUAUUGGUCACUUCAUGUUUGACAAUCCAUUGAACUUGUCAUAUGCUAUGAGUGAGAUCUCCCAUAUUGCAUCAUUUCAAUCUCAACAUAGUAACUAUGCAUGCCCCAUUGAAAUAAAUCCCAUUUGCACUUAUGGCAUAGAUGACGAAAUGAUGGUCAUUGGCUUUUGCUUCUCUUGUGAUGAUAUUGCCAUGCUUCCUUUACAUGAUUUGCGCAAUUCAUCUACUAUUACAUGCCAUGAUCACAUUGUUCCAAAUAUGCAUUGUUUUGGAUGUUGUCAAUAUUCUCCACGUGAUGUUUCUACUCUUGCUCAUGAGGAGACCCCCAUAGUUUCCUCAUACAUAUUAGGAGAUCUUGAUGCAUUUCAUACUUCUGCAUGAUUCCCAUGAUAGUGUACACCAUAUGCAUUCCAUGAAUAACAAUUCUCUAGAUAUUUCUCAUGAUGCAUUACAUCCUUUGAGUCUCCAUUAUGCCAUGCAUAACAACAAACCUAUCAUGAUGGAUGACAUGUUUCUAUAUCACACAUCUCAUUUAUUCGAGCAUUGGAUAUUUUGUGCUAACCGAUACAUGCAUGUGCGCAUCAUGAUGGAUGAUGUGUACAUCUACCCCGCACACACAAUUUUCCCUUUGUCUUUGUUUUGUGUAGGUACUCACAUAUACUCGUCAACUUCUCAAUCCCAUGAGUUGACGAAACGAGCUCUUGAGAGCAACGAUGACUUGGGAUCCCGUGGACUAUCAUUCCCACCAUUCCUUUUGCGCAAAGACUACGCACAUCUCUUUUACUUGUCUCUCACACGGCUAUGGGCUAUUUACCACUUGUCACAUUAUGCCCAUUCUAUCGUGUUCACUUUGCAUGUUAUGCAUCUUUACAUGACUUUGCCAUGCAAUUGUGACCCUUGCUUGCAUUUACCCAUGAUGCACCAUUAUGAUACUCCUAUGUGUAUUUGCAUGCUUGGUGGAGAUCCUUGUUGCUAUUGCCAUGUUUAUCAUGUGCCCCAUUCUAUUGAUGCUAUUUUGCUCAUAUCUUGCCUUUAUGCUUGUGAAAUGUAAUGUGCAUUUUGUAUGCCCACUAUUUGCACACAUGACAUGCUUGCCAUGAUUCCUUCUAGUACAUUGCAUCUUCGCACUACUAGCUUGCUUGACUUGAUCUCUAUGAUUGCUUGCUAUGUUGCAUCACCCAUGUUCCACUAUCACUUGCUUUCUUGGGUUGAUGACAUAUAUGUUCAUGCCUCUCACAUGAUAUAUCUUGUUUAUUGUCGCUUGCCUCCUAUAGUUGCCUCUAUGCUUAAUGAUAUUGGAGACUUGGACACUUCACUUGUGAUGCAUGCUUGUUUGAUUGAGCCUAUUGCAUUUGGUUGUUAUCGCAUCAUAUGCCUCCAUACUAAGAAAUGCUCCCUUGCCCUUUCUCAUGAUGAGCAUGAUGCAUACACUUGUUGGGUAUCUUACCACACGAAUGAUAGGUUUUGCACUUCCGCUAACCUCAUUUGUUUUUCCGAGUGUUUGCCAUGUUCUUUCAUUUUGAAGGAUUCACAAGGCGGUAACAUCACGAGACAACUUGGUUAUGUGAAGGCAUACAAGAUGCACAACUCCAUCAUUCUUGAGAACCUCCUAAAGGUGACCUCCUUCCCUUUGAGCCAUCUUUAAAUAUGCAUAUUGGAUGGGCCAUACUUUCGUUGUUGUUUCCUUCUUGUUGUCUACAUGAUACAUCUAUUGGAUGGAGGACCGACAUUGGAGAUGGACCCUAUGGACUUUCAAGUUGAGGAGUGCCACGACAUCGAGCUAUGGUACAACACCACCCAUGAAAAAUUUACACCAUAUGCAUGGCUUGACACACAUUAUGAUUGUCUUGUUGCACCUAUUCCCAUGUCAUCCAUGAUAUAUGAGCUUGUGCAUUUUCUUAGCAAAUUUGUUGUGAUCUUUCUUGAUGGCAUAUUCAUACAUCGUGAUCAUAUUGCCUACCAUCAAUUGCAUGAUAACAUACACAUGUUGAGCAUCCAUUGCCAUAUUCAUGCUAUUGAUAAACUGUCUCACUAUGACAUCACUUUGCACCGUGGUUGCAUUGAUCAUAUUUACAACACAUUUGUGUGCACAAUGAAUGCUUUUGCUCCCAUGAAUGCUUUACAUCUCAUUCCAUAUCAUCUUGCUAAGCUUCAUGUGCUUUGUCAUGAACAAUCUUGCCUCACGGACUCAUUCUUACAUGAUGGACACUUUGUGUGUGCUAACCAUUAUAUUUCCGAGUGUUGCUUGUGUUUGGUCUUUUUGCAUGUCUAUCACUCCGGAGACACCUUGGAGUACUUGGAUUGCACCAUGACUUCCACUACAUCCAACUACAAGUUCGUCCACGACAACCGUUUCCAUGGUGAUGAGCUUUUUGAUCCGAGGUCGGAUCCUUCCCAAGGGAGGGGAGAUGAUGCAGAGCAUCCGACGAUCAUCCCCAUGUACACUCGAGCCUACGUCAUUGGACCUAAGGUCAACCCGCUCCUAAAUGCUUCUCCUUUCCAUUCAUGUGAGACAUGGUUACUACCUAAUGCAAGGACACUACACAUGCCUAGGUACCAAGGAGACCCUCUCGGUGAUGCUCGGAAUGAUGGACAAGUCCCCAAGUACAAGGAUGAAGGAGCACGACGAGAGGAACCGGAGAAAGGCUACAGGGCCCGGACAUCCGGCCAGGCCCCGGACAUGCGGCCCCUCCCGCAAGCCCGGACAUCCGGCCCCAGCCCGGAAAUGCGGUGCUCAUCGCAGAAGACACCCAUAGCUGAACCACUUCCGCCCGGACAUCCAGCCAGAGGCCCGGACAUCUGGCUCUUCCCGAGCCGCCGGAUAUCCGCCCCCCAGCCCGGACAUCCAGACCCCGCUAUCCAGAGAGCUCCGAGACCGGCCACACCAGCCCGGACAUCCGGCCCGCGCCCCGGACAUCCGGCCUCCCGCGAGCGUCCGGACAUCCGGCCCCUAGCCCGGACAUCCGACGCCUGUCUGCGCACAGUGAACGGGCCAAGGGCCCAUGUAUCUGAUGAGGACAUCAAUACCAUUGUUACACCCACAACCCCUGCUGCUAUAUAUACUGGACCAAUUACUAGAGCUCGCGCACGCCAACUAAAUUACCAGGUACUUUCGUUUCUUGGUAAUGAUUCUAAUGUUCAUGAGAAUAUGAUGCUGCCUAAAUUGGAUACAUUUGUUUUGCUUACAAAUGAAGGGACUAGCUUGGAGAAGGAUGAACAUUGGAGCAAGAACAAGCAUGGAGAUGAUGGCAUGCGCAAGGGGAACAAGAACAGAGUUACAAGUGAUGAUUUCAGGACUUUGAAGCCACCAUAAUGAGUACAUGAAGCCUUGGACAAAAUAUACAAGAUGCCACUUCAUAAACUUCGUCCAGAGGCUAUUCUAGGUGCUGCGUCACCUUAUUAUUGGGCCAGGCCCAUGUAAUUUCGAAAUAUAUAAGUAUAGGCUGUUUUUAGAGUCCGUAUGUGUGGGGAAACAAGAGAUAGGGUUGGUUUCGGACCCCUUCCCCAACGGCCACGAAAUUCUCCCCUCUUUCUCCAUAUAUACAGCCCUUAGGGCACCGUUUAGACUUUGGGUUUUGCUUAGAUUAAAAGUUCGCCAUAGCUGCAACUUCGCGCACUUCGUUUGUGUUCAAUGACCAGACCAAGGCAUCACAAAACCCCACCUUGAUCAAUAAAGCUUUGAUCUUAUAUUCACAAUAUCCAGAUUGCAAUCUCAGUUUCUUGCUUGUUCUUCAUUUGCGCGCAGGAAACAGACCCUCGUGGUCAGGUUGAUCAUGCUCUGGCGUGGUCAAUAACCUCUUGGAGUUGGUUUAGCGAUUGCUAAGGCGCGACGUCCUCGCACGUUCGUAGUCGGAUCGUCAAAGUCGAUUUCCACCAAAGCGAUAUCCAUCAUCUCAUCGAAAGACGGGACACCUUUGCCUCUAUCAAGUGGUAUCAGAGCUCCAGGUUGCUCGGUGAGAUUUUACAGUUUUUCGUAGUUUACAUCGAGUCUGUUCUUCAUACCUAUAGUCCGCGAAAAAGCCAAAAAAAAUUAGGGUUAGUUCAUCCCAUCCGAACCAAUCUGAGCCUUUGCAUAAUCUUUUUUGUUUUUGCUUUGUUGAGUUUGCGGUUGCAUCGUCGUGUUAAUUUGCUGGUCUUAGCGUCUAGUCCUUUAGAGUUUCGAGUUCUGUUCACAAGUUGUCACGUCGCCGCUGCCAUAUAUCACCACCGCAUCAUCAUCAUCGCUGCUGCCAUAUACCACCACCGCACCAACUUCAUCGCCGCUGCCAUAUACCACCACCACAUACAUAUUCACUGAUAAUCCGAGUCCAUAUACGCCACCACAUAUCCGCUGCCAUCACGCCAAUCCGAGUCCACCUGCAAAAUAUAUCCGCCACCAGUCCGAGUUCCACUAGAUUCAUCUCCGCCACCAGUCCUAUUCCGAGUCCAGCAUUUUGUUACUCUGUUUUGGAUUUCCAGAUCACGCCAUACUCCGAGUCGUGACAGAGAAGGACUCCCCAACAUCCGUGCUACCCGCAGUAGAAAAAUAGUUCUGAACUCAAAAAAAAAACUAAGUCUGGAAAAUUUUGGCUAGGCAGUUUUUAGGCCAUUUGUAGACUUUUUCGAAAAAAAAUUGUUGCGGAGCAAAAAAAAAAGAGGAAAAAAGUGCAAAAAAAGGAAAAAGAAUUUUAGAGUUUGCUCCUCCCUUGUUUGCGUGCAGCGCCGUGAUUUUGUUAGUGUUCUAGGCUCGCGUCUCUAGCACGGUCUAGCCUAGGACCAGCACAGUACUGUCAUUGAGCGUUUAUUCAACUUUGCGUCUCUAAAUUGAUUAUUGCUGACCCUUUUUGCUACCAUAUUAUAAGCCUUCCCAGCUCCACAUACAUCUACGUCGUGCGUUUGAAUCUCCCUGCUAAUUGCUCUAUCCAACCUUUGAGAGUUUUGACUACAACGGUUGCCGAUCACCACCUGCUGUUGGGUAAGAACUGGUAAGAAUUUGAGAUUUGCUUGACAGGUUUGUGAUACACCACCACCUAUUCCUAGUAGCCUAUAGGAUCAUAUUCUUGUUUAUUUCUAUUUGCUGCUAACCAUGGUAGGAUCACAAGCCGAUGAGACUGAUUGGGAGAACUUGACAAACAAACAACUACAUGAUAAAUUUCAGCAAAUGUUGAGUGGACAGGUGCAAGAUGUGCUAAACAGAUUUGAAGAGGCCAUGGAGAAGAUAGAUGGCAUUGAGAAUACGUUCGAAACAAAGCUUGAUAACAAAUUUAAUGAAUUGCUCGCACGUUUUCCACAACCACCGCCGGCUGCACCUAUUGCACCUCUGCAACGACAACAACAACGCCCCCUUCCGAAUCAGUAUGGACGAGCGCAGCGUGUUCCUCUUGAGGAUGGCCAAACUUCUGGUGCUGUUGUACCUAUUGUUCAUGCUUCUUUGGCUCCUGCUACUGCUGCUGCUGGUACCUAGGAGGAUGAUGAGUAUGCGGGCGAUUAUGAGGAUGAGGUUGAUCAAAAUCAGAACUACGUGCAGCCACCAGCACCACCACCAGCAGGUCGACCUCAGGUAUAUAAUCUCAAUGGUAGGCCUGCACCACCACUUCAGGUACGAGAUCAUGACCAUCUCCCUAAACUGAAAUUGAAUAUUCCACCAUUUGAGGGUAGAUAUGUUCCUGAUAUAUAUCUUACUUGGGAGUUAGAAACUGAACAACGAUUUACAUAUUUACAAUAUCCUGAGGAGAGACGUGUUCCUGCUGCUGUUUGUGCUUUCACUAGCUUUGCAUGUGUUUGGUGGUCUGAACAUUGUCGAUUAUAUCCUGUUCCAGCUACUUGGGCUGCUUUGAAAACUGCUAUGCGUACUCGUUGGGUUCCACCAUAUUAUCAACGUGAAUUACUUCAAAAAUUGCAGCGCUUAAGACAAGGAAAAAAUUCGGUAGAAGAAUAUUAUCAGGAAUUACAAACUGGCUUGAUUAGAUGUGGUAUUGUUGAGGAGAAUGAAGCUAUGCUUGCACGUUUUCUGGGUGGAUUAAAUAGAGAGAUUCAGACCAUUCUAGACUAUAAGGAUUAUAAUAAUAUCACUCGUUUAUUCCAUCUUGCUUGUAAAGCUGAACGUGAAGUGCAGGAUCGACAGGCAUUGGCGCGCACUAACUUUUCUGCAGGUCGACCUUCAUCAUGGACACCACGUGCAUCAUCUACUUCCACUGCACCAUCACCUCCUUCAGGUGCCACCUCCAACCGUGGUACACGAAAGCAGGCACAACCACCACUAUCUGCCAAGAGCACACCUGCCGGACCUGCACAGAGCUCUUCUUCUUCCAUGGCGUCAACAGGGCACACCAGUGAUAUUAUUUGUCGUUGUUGUAAGGGAAGAGGACAUUUUGCGAGAGAAUGCAAAUCUCAGCGUGUGAUGAUUGCUACUGAGGAUGGUGGGUAUGAGUCCGCUAGUGACUAUGAUGAGGAGACUUUGGCUCUUAUUACACAUGAGGAACACGAUGGAGAUGAUUCUGAUCAUGAGACACAAUACAUGGCUGCUGAAGAUGCUGACAGGUAUGAAUGUUUAGUUGCUCAACGUGUUUUGAGUGUGCAGGUUACACAAGCUGAGCAAAAUCAGAGGCAUAAUUUGUUCCAUACAAAGGGAGUUGAGAAGGAACGUUCUAUUCGCGUCAUCAUAGAUGGAGGGAGCUGCAACAACUUGGCUAGCAUGGAGAUGGUGGAGAAGCUAUCUCUCACCACAAGACCACAUCCACAUCCUUACUACAUCCAAUGGUUCAACAACAGCGGCAAGGUUAAGGUAACACGUACUGUUCGUGUGCAUUUUAGUAUCUCUACAUAUGCUGAUUAUGUUGAUUGUGAGGUGGUACCUAUGCAAGCAUGUUCCUUAUUACUUGGUAGACCAUGGCAAUUUGAUAAAAAUUCUGUACACCAUGGUAGAAACAAUCAGUAUACUCUUGUUCAUAAGGAUAAAAAUAUUACUUUGCUUUUUAUGACUCCUGAUUCCAUUUUGAAAGAUGAUAUUAAUAGAGCUAAUAAAGCAAAACAGGAGAAAAAUAAGAGUGAAAAUCAGAUUGUGGCAAAAGAAUUUGAGCAACAAAUGAAGCCUAAUAGUAAACCAUCUAGUGUUGUUUCUAAAAUUAAAUUGAAAAGUGCAUGUUUACUUGCCACUAAAUCUGAUAUUGACGAGCUAGAUUUCAGCAAUUCUGUUUGCUAUGCUUUUGUGUGCAAAGAGGCAUUAUUUUCAUUCGAGGACGUGCCUUCCUCUUUCCCUCCUGCUGUCACUUACAUUUUGCAGGAGUUCGCUGAUGUCUUUCCACAAGACGUGCCACCGGGAUUACCUCCCAUUCGAGGGAUUGAACAUCAGAUUGACUUAAUUCCCGGUGCAUCAUUACCCAACCGUGCACCAUACCGUACCAAUCCAGAGGAGACGAAGGAGAUUAUGCGUCAAGUACAGGAGCUGCUCGACAAAGGUUAUAUACGCGAAUCCCUUAGUCCUUGUGCUGUUCCUAUUAUUCUAGUGCCGAAAAAGGAUGGUACAUCACGUAUGUGUGUUGAUUGUAGAGGCAUUAAUAAUAUUACUAUUCGUUAUCGUCAUCCUAUUCCUAGGCUAGAUGAUAUGCUUGAUGAAUUGAGUGGCUCUACAAAAUUCUCCAAAGUUGAUUUGCG